rnacentral:rRNA from 1 species
UACGUAGGGUGCAAGCGUUAUCCGGAAUUAUUGGGCGUAAAGCGCACGUAGGCGGAUCUUUAAGUCAGAGGUGAAAUCCCAAGGCUCAACCUUGGAACUGCCUUUGAUACUGGGGAUCUUGAGUCCGGGAGAGGUGAGUGGAACUGCGAGUGUAGAGGUGAAAUUCGUAGAUAUUCGCAAGAACACCAGUGGCGAAGGCGGCUCACUGGCCCGGUACUGACGCUGAGGUGCGAAAGCGUGGGGAGCAAACAGG